GUGCCCUCACCGAGCUCUUCUUCGUCACUGAGAACCGCGCCCAGGAGCUCGGCUUGCUGCAGGAGUACCUGUUUGGCCUUGACUACUGAUGACCACCUUCUCCGCUGUGCAGCACAGGCUCUGCAGAACAUUGCUGCCAUCAGCCUGGCCAUCAACUACUCAAAUAAGGCCACCCACCUCUGGAAUGUUCAGUGUUAGCCUCCCUGUGAUGUGCAUGAGCUGGUUAAUCUGUCCACAGGGGUUAAGAACAGACCUCCAGCCUCAUUCAAGAAAAUUGUGUGGCUUCAGUGCCCAGCUCUAUUUGAGC
rnacentral:lncRNA from 1 species